GGUGCAUCCCUUAUUAAUGAGUUCGAUAAAAUCUUUAGCUCCUGCUCAUUUUAUAUCUGUGUGAGUCCUGAUUUAACGUUUUUUUGGAAAAGCAUCUUUUCACAUCACUGUCCCUUCUUUCCCGGAAGAAGGACUUCCUACAGAAGACGCUGUCUGAGGCCAUCGGAGCCCUUUCUUGUUCCUCCUGGAGAAAAGCUUCUUCGCACCUGGGGGGAGGGGGGGGCUUUGGCGCCUGUGCCACAGCUGUGGGUGACAGCGGACUCAGUCUACCCGUCUGUGCAAGGAGCUCACAGCGACUGCCUGAACCCCGGAGCUGCCGCCCAGCCUCCCCUUGCGCCCUGCACCCCGCGCCCGGGGCCCCGGCAUGCAGCCGCUGCCUGGGAACGCUCCCAGUCCCGCACGACUGCCCCUCCGCCCGCGGGGGUCUCUGGGCUCCGCGCUGCUCCCGGGGUGCGGAGGGACUCGGGAGGGGGCGGGUUCACUCGAGCCAGAAAGCCCGGAGCCGCCCAGGAAUUUUGGCUCGGGCUGGGAGCAUUUCCUCCCGGGCUGGCCCGGCGCGAUCCCGCGGAGGGCUGUCGCUGGCAGACGCGCACAGCGCUCGGUCCCGCCGGCAUCAUGCGGCCCCUGCUGUGCGCGCUGGCCGGGCUCGCCCUGCUCCGCGCCGCGGGCGCUCUGGCCGGAGAAUCAGCCGUUUCAUCACAAGGCUGCCGACGAGUGCCUGCCCAGGCCCUCGGUACAAAUCCUUGGCCCAGCUCCUCUCUGCCCGGCCUCACACUCCCAGAGCUGAGGGCACCCAGCAGAGCCUGUGACUGGCUGAUUUUCUGUGGCCCCUGUAGCCACAAUUGGUAUAUACACUUUAAUGUGAAUUUCCUUUAAAAUAUUAAGUUUUUUCUUCUGAUUAUGUAUGUUUAGAAGCUACAGAUUAAGAAAAAAUAAAGAGGAAAGUAAUUUAUUUAUUAGAAAGGCA
rnacentral:lncRNA from 1 species